UACACGACCGUACCGCAAACCGACACUGGUGCGCGAGAUGAGUAUUCUAAGGCGCUUGAGAGAACUCAGGAGAAGGAACUCGGCAAAUUGACACCGUAACUUCGGAAGAAGGUGUGCCUUUAGUAGGUGAAGUCCCUCGCGGAUGGAGCCCAAUGAGGUUGCAAAAAAUCGGUGGCUGCGACUGUUUAUUAAAAACACAGCACUCUGCAAACACGAAAGUGGACGUAUAGGGUGUGACGCCUGCCCGGUGCUGGAAGAUUAAAUGAUGGGGUGCAAGCUCUUGAUUGAAGUCCCAGUAAACGGCGGCCGUAACGAUAACGGUCCUAAGGUAGCGAAAUUCCUUGUCGGGUAAGUUCCGACCUGCACGAAUGGCGUAACGAUGGCCACACUGUCUCCUCCUGAGACUCAGCGAAGUUGAAAUGUUUGUGAUGAUGCAAUCUCCCCGCGGAAAGACGGAAAGACCCCAUGAACCUUUACUGUAGCUUUGUAUUGGACUUUGAACAGAUCUGUGUAGGAUAGGUGGGAGGCUUUGAAGCAGGGUCGCUAGAUCUUGUGGAGCCAACGUUGAAAUACCACCCUGGUGUGUUUGAGGUUCUAACCUAGGCCCGUAAUCCGGGUUGGGGACAGUGCAUGGUAGGCAGUUUGACUGGGGCGGUCUCCUCCCAAAGUGUAACGGAGGAGUUCGAAGGUACGCUAGUUACGGUCGGACAUCGUGACGAUAGUGCAAUGGCAUAAGCGUGCUUAACUGCGAGACUGACAAGUCGAGCAGAUGCGAAAGCAGGACAUAGUGAUCCGGUGGUUCUGUAUGGAAGGGCCAUCGCUCAACGGAUAAAAGGUACUCUGGGGAUAACAGGCUGAUACCGCCCAAGAGUUCAUAUCGACGGCGGUGUUUGGCACCUCGAUGUCGGCUCAUCUCAUCCUGGGGCUGUAGCCGGUCCCAAGGGUAUGGCUGUUCGCCAUUUAAAGAGGUACGUGAGCUGGGUUUAAAACGUCGUGAGACAGUUUGGUCCCUAUCUUCCGUGGGCGCUGCAGAUUUGAGGAAGCCUGCUCCUAGUACGAGAGGACCGGAGUGGACGCACCUCUGGUGUAUCGGUUGUCACGCCAGUGGCAUUGCCGAGUAGCUAUGUGCGGAAGAGAUAACCGCUGAAAGCAUCUAAGCGGGAAACUCGUUUCAAGAUGAGAUCUGCCGGGGCCUUGAGCCCCCUGAAGAGUCGUUCAAGACCAGGACGUUGAUAGGUCGGGUGUGGAAGCGCAGUAAUGCGUUAAGCUAACCGAUACUAAUUGCUCGUGCGGCUUGACCU
rnacentral:rRNA from 1 species